rnacentral:rRNA from 1 species
UACGUAGGUGACAAGCGUUGUCCGGAUUUACUGGGCGUAAAGAGCGCGCAGGCGGUCGAUCAAGUCGAGUGUGAAAGCCCCCGGCUCAACUGGGGAGGGUCAUUCGAUACUGAUCGACUCGAAGGCAGGAGAGGGUAGUGGAAUUCCCGGUGUAGUGGUGAAAUGCGUAGAUAUCGGGAGGAACACCAGUGGCGAAGGCGACUACCUGGCCCAUUCUUGACGCUGAGGCGCGGAAGCUAGGGGAGCGAACGGG